CGGACCCAUUUCAAGCUUACCUCAGAGCCCUUAGCCCUUACCUCACAUGCUAGGCAGCACACUUGCAGAGUUGCAAGGCAUGGUACAGGAGCUGGGCCAGGCCAGGCCGGGGCUGUAAGCACAGUGGGCCCUGUAGAAGGCACAGGGGAUGUGCAGUGACAAAUCAAAGAGAAGAUACUGCAGAAGGAAACUUGAGAGCUGAGAAACACUUCUUUUUGGAUUUGAAUAGUCCAUCGCUGAAAGAGGCCUAAACUUGAAGACUCUCAAGGAAUUGCAGAAGGUAGCCACUGCCUGGAACAUGGCAAGAUCAUAACACGUGCAGUUGCGAGGAAGAAAGACUUUCAGAGUACGUGGACAGAAGAGGAGUACAAGCAGGAUCCUGUGAAGAGGGGUGGCAGCAGGUGGAGGAACGGAGGUUGGUGGAUAUUCUUCCAUGCAAUCAUUCAGAGAAGCAGGAUGAUGGAAGCUGUGAAAUCUUCAACAGGCAGUUUCCAAGGUCAUCCUGAGGCUCUUCUCUCUGCCCUAACCAGAAGGAAGGGGAGAAGUAUGGAGGUGCACUUACGGAAAGUUUAUAUGGUGCAGGUGUAUGAGCGGUACUUAUGUCCAUCCAGGUUCCCUGGCUAAAGACCAGACACAAGGAAACACUUAACUGCCAGGGAAAUUGGGAAGCAUACUCUUGCCCAGGAAGAAUAAGAG
rnacentral:lncRNA from 1 species